rnacentral:rRNA from 1 species
CCUACGGGAGGCAGCAGUGGGGAAUAUUGCACAAUGGGGGAAACCCUGAUGCAGCGACGCCGCGUGAGUGAAGAAGUAAUUCGUUAUGUAAAGCUCUAUCAGCAGGGAAGAAAAUGACGGUACCUGAGUAAGAAGCCCCGGCUAACUACGUGCCAGCAGCCGCGGUAAUACGUAGGGGGCAAGCGUUAUCCGGAUUUACUGGGUGGAAAGGGAGCGUAGACGGCAGUGCAAGUCUGGAGUGAAAGGCGGGGGCUCAACCCCCGGACUGCUCUGGAAACUGUACGGCUGGAGUGCAGGAGAGGUAAGUGGAAUUCCUGGUGUAGCGGUGAAAUGCGUAGAUAUUAGGAGGAACACCAGUGGCGAAGGCGGCUUACUGGACUGUAACUGACGUUGAGGCUCGAAAGCGUGGGGAGCAAACAGGAUUAGAUACCCCUGUAGUC